rnacentral:rRNA from 1 species
GCCUACGGGGGGCAGCAGUGGGGGGUAUUGCACAAUGGGGGAAACCCUGAUGCAGCGACGCCGCGUGGGUGAAGAAGCGCCUCGGCGCGUAAAGCCCUGUCAGCAGGGAAGAAAAUGACGGUACCUGAAGAAGAAGCCCCGGCUAACUACGUGCCAGCAGCCGCGGUAAUACGUAGGGGGCAAGCGUUAUUCGGAUUUACUGGGUGUAAAGGGGGCGCAGACGGCGAUGCAAGCCAGGAGUGAAAGCCCGGGGCCCAACCCCGGGACUGCUCUUGGAACUGCGUGUCUAGAGUGCAGGAGGGGCG